rnacentral:rRNA from 1 species
UCCGGCUAACUUCGUGCCAGCAGCCGCGGUAAUACGAAGGGACCUAGCGUAGUUCGGAAUUACUGGGCUUAAAGAGUUCGUAGGUGGUUAAAAAAGUUGAUGGUGAAAUCCCAGAGCUUAACUCUGGAACUGCCAUCAAAACUUUUUAGCUAGAGUAUGAUAGAGGAAAGCAGAAUUUCUAGUGUAGAGGUGAAAUUCGUAGAUAUUAGAAAGAAUACCAACUGCGAAGGCAGCUUUCUGGAUCAUUACUGACGCUGAGGAACGAAAGCAUGGGUAGCGAAGAGGAUUAGAUACCCUCGUAGUCCAUGCCGUAAACGAUGUGUGUUAGACGUUGGAAAUUUAUUUUCAGUGUCGCAGUGAAAACAAUAAACACACCGCCUGGGGAGUACGACCGCAAGGUUAAAACUCAAAUGAAUUGACGGGGACCCGCACAAGUAGUGGAGCAUGUGGUUUAAUUCGAAGAUACGCGCAGAACCUUACCAACACUUGACAUGUUCGUCGCGACUCUAAGAGAUUAGAGUUUUCGGUUCGGCCGGACGAAACACAGGUGCUGCAUGGCUGUCGUCAGCUCGUGUCGUGAGAUGUUGGGUUAAGUCCCGCAACGAGCGCAACCCUUACUUUUAGUUGCCACCAUUUAGUUGGGCACUCUGAAAGAACUGCCAGUGAUAAGCUGGAGGAAGGUGGGGAUGACGUCAAGUCCUCAUGGCCCUUAUGUGUUGGGCUACACACGUGCUACAAUGGUAUCUACAACAGGAAGCAAAACAGCGAUGUUAAGCAAAUCCCGAAAAGAUACCUCAGUUCGGAUUGCACUCUGCAACUCGAGUGCAUGAAGCUGGAAUUACUAGUAAUCGCGGAUCAGCGUGCCGCGGUGAAUACGUUCCCGGGUCUUGUACACACCGCCCGUCACACCAUGGGAGUUGGUUCUACCUUAAGGCAAAGCUUAAAA